GCCAGCCAGUCCCCAGGCCCCAGGGCCAGCACACAUUUGCGGGGCCGCUUUAAAUGGCAGAGUCAAUGUCAAAUCCACAGAGAAGUCAUAACGUGGGACCGGAAUGAAAAAUGGGGGUUAAAAAUUCAGAGCCAUGCCUUUAGUUCAUCCUUUGACCUGAGCAGUUAACAUUCAUUUCUUUCCUAAGCAGGUGAUUUGAAUGCAGCGCGUUGGAAGACUUUGUUUUCAGUCUCUGUGGUUCCUUUCACACAGGUUUUUUGUUUGUUUGUUUUCUUUUUCCUUUUUUUUUUUUUUUUUUUCCUCUCCCCACUAAGGGCUUCAAGAGGCACGGCUUUGAGAAAACGGUCCUCCCUCUGGGACUCAUCUCAGCCGAAGUCAUCAGGAAUGGCCUCCGGGACGGGACGGCAGCAGGAAUUCAGUGGAGGCGCUCUCUGCUGUGGACCUGGUUCUCUUCCAUCACAGCACUGACCUUGAACGGCCGGCCACCUGUGACCCCCCAUCUCCUGCUCUGAAUCCCGCCUUCACCCCACGGGAGCCGGCAGAGCGUCUGCACCUGCCAGCUACUCAGCGCACCUUUGGAACUCAGCUGGAAUUUGGGGUCACUCUUCGGGAUCAUGGAUCAACCACGGAGCUGGUUAUUGCUGCGAUGAGAACAGCGGCUGCUGCUGCUGUGUCCCCAGAGUGAGUUUCAUGUAACUCUGCAACAUUGAUGCACUGAGGAAGACAAGGAAAAGUCCUGAGGAGGCUCAGAGCUGGCGCAAGCUCCGUGUGUGUGUGUGUGAGCGUGGGUGAGGAGGAGGCACAUCUCGAACCAUGUCCUAGAGGUCAGCCUACCUGCAAGUGACAGUGAGGACCACGUGAGGCACGCUUUGCACUGAAAAAGGUACCCCCCACCCCCCUUCCCCAUUUUGUCUGGUGCUUCCUCCGAAGGAUUAGUGGUGACCAAAAGGGCAGUGGGGGGCUCUUGAGGAGCCUUUCCAUCUGGCAGUGCUGGAAAUGGAGUGUAUGAAAUGGUUUCUGCCGAGAGUUCCUCGGGGAUGUGGGCACCCCAACCACACCCUCAGGGCAUCGCCAGCCCCGGGGUGCUU
rnacentral:lncRNA from 1 species